rnacentral:rRNA from 1 species
UUAAGUUAUUAAGGGCGCACGGUGGAUGCCUUGGCACUAGAAGCCGAUGAAGGACGUUACUAACGACGAUAUGCUUUGGGGAGCUGUAAGUAAGCUUUGAUCCAGAGAUUUCCGAAUGGGGAAACCCAGCAUGAGUUACGUCAUGUUAUCGAUAUGUGAAUACAUAGCAUAUCAGAAGGCACACCCGGAGAACUGAAACAUCUUAGUACCCGGAGGAAGAGAAAGAAAAUUCGAUUCCCUUAGUAGCGGCGAGCGAAAUGGGAAGAGCCCAAACCAACAAGCUUGCUUGUUGGGGUUGUAGGACACUCUAUACGGAGUUACAAAGGACGACAUUAGACGAAUCAUCUGGAAAGAUGAAUCAAAGAAGGUAAUAAUCCUGUAGUCGAAAAUGUUGUCUCUCUUGAGUGGAUCCUGAGUACGACGGAGCACGUGAAAUUCCGUCGGAAUCUGGGAGGACCAUCUCCUAAGGCUAAAUACUCUCUAGUGACCGAUAGUGAACCAGUACCGUGAGGGAAAGGUGAAAAGCACCCCGGAAGGGGAGUGAAAUAGAACCUGAAACCGUGUGCUUACAAGUAGUCAGAGCCCGUUAAUGGGUGAUGGCGUGCCUUUUGUAGAAUGAACCGGCGAGUUACGAUUUGAUGCAAGGUUAAGCAGUAAAUGUGGAGCCGUAGCGAAAGCGAGUCUGAAUAGGGCGUUUAGUAUUUGGUCGUAGACCCGAAACCAGGUGAUCUACCCUUGGUCAGGUUGAAGUUCAGGUAACACUGAAUGGAGGACCGAACCGACUUACGUUGAAAAGUGAGCGGAUGAACUGAGGGUAGCGGAGAAAUUCCAAUCGAACCUGGAGAUAGCUGGUUCUCUCCGAAAUAGCUUUAGGGCUAGCCUCAAGUGAUGAUUAUUGGAGGUAGAGCACUGUUUGGACGAGGGGCCCCUCUCGGGUUACCGAAUUCAGACAAACUCCGAAUGCCAAUUAAUUUAACUUGGGAGUCAGAACAUGGGUGAUAAGGUCCGUGUUCGAAAGGGAAACAGCCCAGACCACCAGCUAAGGUCCCAAAAUAUAUGUUAAGUGGAAAAGGAUGUGGCGUUGCCCAGACAACUAGGAUGUUGGCUUAGAAGCAGCCAUCAUUUAAAGAGUGCGUAAUAGCUCACUAGUCGAGUGACACUGCGCCGAAAAUGUACCGGGGCUAAACAUAUUACCGAAGCUGUGGAUUGUCCUUUGGACAAUGGUAGGAGAGCGUUCUAAGGGCGUUGAAGCAUGAUCGUAAGGACAUGUGGAGCGCUUAGAAGUGAGAAUGCCGGUGUGAGUAGCGAAAGACGGGUGAGAAUCCCGUCCACCGAUUGACUAAGGUUUCCAGAGGAAGGCUCGUCCGCUCUGGGUUAGUCGGGUCCUAAGCUGAGGCCGACAGGCGUAGGCGAUGGAUAACAGGUUGAUAUUCCUGUACCACCUAUAAUCGUUUUAAUCGAUGGGGGGACGCAGUAGGAUAGGCGAAGCGUGCGAUUGGAUUGCACGUCUAAGCAGUAAGGCUGAGUAUUAGGCAAAUCCGGUACUCGUUAAGGCUGAGCUGUGAUGGGGAGAAGACAUUGUGUCUUCGAGUCGUUGAUUUCACACUGCCGAGAAAAGCCUCUAGAUAGAAAAUAGGUGCCCGUACCGCAAACCGACACAGGUAGUCAAGAUGAGAAUUCUAAGGUGAGCGAGCGAACUCUCGUUAAGGAACUCGGCAAAAUGACCCCGUAACUUCGGGAGAAGGGGUGCUCUUUAGGGUUAACGCCCAGAAGAGCCGCAGUGAAUAGGCCCAAGCGACUGUUUAUCAAAAACACAGGUCUCUGCUAAACCGUAAGGUGAUGUAUAGGGGCUGACGCCUGCCCGGUGCUGGAAGGUUAAGAGGAGUGGUUAGCUUCUGCGAAGCUACGAAUCGAAGCCCCAGUAAACGGCGGCCGUAACUAUAACGGUCCUAAGGUAGCGAAAUUCCUUGUCGGGUAAGUUCCGACCCGCACGAAAGGCGUAACGAUUUGGGCACUGUCUCAACGAGAGACUCGGUGAAAUCAUAGUACCUGUGAAGAUGCAGGUUACCCGCGACAGGACGGAAAGACCCCGUGGAGCUUUACUGUAGCCUGAUAUUGAAAUUCGGCACAGCUUGUACAGGAUAGGUAGGAGCCUUUGAAACGUGAGCGCUAGCUUACGUGGAGGCGCUGGUGGGAUACUACCCUAGCUGUGUUGGCUUUCUAACCCGCACCACUUAUCGUGGUGGGAGACAGUGUCAGGCGGGCAGUUUGACUGGGGCGGUCGCCUCCUAAAAGGUAACGGAGGCGCUCAAAGGUUCCCUCAGAAUGGUUGGAAAUCAUUCAUAGAGUGUAAAGGCAUAAGGGAGCUUGACUGCGAGACCUACAAGUCGAGCAGGGUCGAAAGACGGACUUAGUGAUCCGGUGGUUCCGCAUGGAAGGGCCAUCGCUCAACGGAUAAAAGCUACCCCGGGGAUAACAGGCUUAUCUCCCCCAAGAGUUCACAUCGACGGGGAGGUUUGGCACCUCGAUGUCGGCUCAUCGCAUCCUGGGGCUGUAGUCGGUCCCAAGGGUUGGGCUGUUCGCCCAUUAAAGCGGUACGCGAGCUGGGUUCAGAACGUCGUGAGACAGUUCGGUCCCUAUCCGUCGUGGGCGUAGGAAAUUUGAGAGGAGCUGUCCUUAGUACGAGAGGACCGGGAUGGACAUACCUCUGGUGUACCAGUUGUCGUGCCAACGGCAUAGCUGGGUAGCUAUGUGUGGACGGGAUAAGUGCUGAAAGCAUCUAAGCAUGAAGCCCCCCUCAAGAUGAGAUUUCCCAACUUCGGUUAUAAGAUCCCUCAAAGAUGAUGAGGUUAAUAGGUUCGAGGUGGAAGCAUGGUGACAUGUGGAGCUGACGAAUACUAAUCGAUCGAAGACUUAAUCAA